rnacentral:rRNA from 1 species
UACGUAGGGUGCGAGCGUUGUCCGGAAUUAUUGGGCGUAAAGAGCUCGUAGGCGGUUCGUCGCGUCGAAUGUGAAAACCCGGGGCUCAACUCCGGGCCUGCAUUCGAUACGGGCGGACUAGAGUUCGGUAGGGGAGACUGGAAUUCCUGGUGUAGCGGUGAAAUGCGCAGAUAUCAGGAGGAACACCUAUGGCGAAGGCAGCUCUCUGGUACGUGACUGACGCUGAGACGCGAAAGCGUGGGGAGCAAACAGG